UUGAAAACAGAAUGGAAAUCACUCGCGAUUAACAUUCUUAAUAACACAUCAUUUCUGGUGGUCAUACAUGUAUAGGACAAAUUCUGCGUCUUAGGGUACUGUCAAGAUGGCUGAAGAAGCACUUUUCCAAACAGGCAUUUCGUUUGAAAUGACACUCUUCAACAUCUUUUUGGCACUUGUUACUCUCUUCAUGAUUCUACUUGCUGUUCGCACCCUACGUUUUGGGCAGAACCAGCAUAAGGAUUAGGAUGUCUAUCCCGAUUGUCCUUCGAAGCACCAGCAGCACAUUUUAACCGACGCGAUGGGCUGUUCAUGUGUUUGAACUGUUCUCCUUUACCGUUACGUGAAGAAAAUUCGAAGAAAAAAUAGUAAAAAGUAUCAUAGUGUUAUCUAUGACAGCAACAGUAGUGGUGACCAACUCAUCGAGAACAAAAUCAUGGGAUUCGUAUGCCUCCUGUGAUCCUAGAAACGACAAAUUUGUAUCAAUUGCUUAAGAUGUCUGUGUUAUGGGAAGUAGAAGCGCAGUGUCCCGCGACAACCCUACAAGCCAUCACAGAGAAUAUGUCCAGGCAUUAGGUCGUAAAUUGUAAAUAUCUCAAAGGAGGGUAUGACAUCGGUGUUGAUGAGGUUACCACAGCUACGAGUGGAUGUAUGAUAAAACAAUAUACAUGAAACGGGAAUUUAUUGGGGUACUAGAUAGACCGUGUUAUCACUUGCUUUUGUACUAUUUCAGUAUACAGUAUGUAUGUUUUUGCCAAUAUCAUCAUGUCACAUUUUUUGUACGGGUUCGCUGGGGAAUUGAUUCUCCAGGGUGAAUGUGUACAUCGCCGUGUACAUCUCGAGCGUUUGUAAGUCAAUGGAGAUGGCACUGUAUUUUAACAUUGCGGCAAGGCAAAUUACUUCUAAACGCCAUAUGAUAUUGGAAACGUCCCUGGACCGGAAGAACUAAUAAAAUAAAUAUCAAUCACGAAUAUACGGGCCUCACAUGGCAGUGUUGUUAUAAUCAUUGCCAUGCCCAUGUGCUGGGAUGGGCAUAUUUGAGCUUUAGGGCUGCAGUUUCAUUUGCUGCUAUCAUGAUCCAUAUAAGCCUUUAUUAACCUAUAUGAUCCACAUAAGCGGGAACCUGGAAUUCUUUGUACAAAUACUUUACUACGGUGUCAGAUGAAGGACACAAUGGUUUUAUUUAUACGCGACAUCGCUCAUGCAUAACUUAUUUUCGUUGUCGUAUUCGCAGUUAGUCUGGCAAACUGGAGGGGUGAGGGGUACGCUGUCACCCCUGCUGCCUGCUUGAAGAACUGCAAAAGAAAUCACCACGAUUAGUUAUGCAUGAGCGAAUGAAAUAAAUUUGUCUUUAAUUGGUAA